UACAUACUUUUUUCUUCUUCUGUGUGUAUGAACAGGUCAGCCAGGGCAGCGUGUCACAGGGAGCACUCUGGGUAAUGUAGUCCACAGGAUGAAUGUGGCUCUGGGGGAGCGUGGAGACAAACUGAGUCACGCCGAGGACAAGACUGUGGAGCUGAUGCACAAAGCCCAGCAGUUUGCAGACACUGCGCACAAGCUGGCCCUGAAGUAUUCAAAGUGAAGACUGCUGGAUGAAGAAUGAAAUCCUCCAGGACGUUAAAGAUGAAUCCUGUAACAGCAACACUAACGCUGUCUUAAAUAACGAAAUACUUUGUGCUUAAUGUGCCUCAAAUGAAUAUUCUGUUCUUCAAGAGAAAAAAAGCUGGACUUUUGGAUUUAAUCUACAAUUAUUGGAAAUGUAUUGAAAAACCACUGCACAGCUUCCUUGACUCAUUCAUAUUUUGGAUUAAAAAGAUGUGCCUAACCUAAAAUCUGUGUCACAGGGUCGUACGGCUCUUAUUGUAUAAUAUUUUUCUUCUUUGGAUUUAUUUGGAUUUUAUUGCACUAAAUGUUUGAUUUACCCCCACUUGUUGCCGUUGAUCUGUGUUGCUAACAUGUGUGUAAAGUAUGGAGUGCAGUGACAUAUUGAUGUGUCCUGAACACUCAAACUGUUGCUCUAUACUGUGUCUGCUGUACUGUCUUCCGUCUGUGUGUGUCCUGUUUUUACUAACCGCAACAACAAAGCUGGUACUGUUUUCACCUUCUGAGUUUUUGUGUGUAUCACAGGGGCAAAAUGAGCCCCCAGAGAGACCUACUGUGGCGGGAACUAAAAGUACUCUCCAGGUGUUUAUACUUCUGUCUGUGACUAUUUAUCUGUCCGUUGUCUAUCUGUCUGUCUCUAUUUGUAAAAAUGAUUCUGUCAAUGCGAUGGCAGGUGACAAAAACUUGCAAGAUGCAGUCACAAAACUUUAUAGGUGUGUAGUUGACACACAACAAACAAGGUUGAGAUACGCACCAGGCCUGAUUUGGCAUCAUAGAACCAGUAUUAAGGCUGAGCUUAAAGAUGGGAUUUGUUGGAGUGAUUAACAUUGGGAGUCUAUAAACAAAAAGUAGAAAAGGUUGAGGUCAAGCAAAAUGUUGACUUAAUGUUUGCAUCUCUUCUUUCAGUUAUUUGUAAUGCAGAUGCAAACACUGUGUGGAGUCUGUGUUAUUUUAAACUAAAUUAAUAUUGACUUACAGUACUUUGAUUCAUUGACUAAAUUCAUUUUGAUCACUUGUUAUUUUACGUUUUCAUUACUUUUGGCUAUAGUUGAAUGUUUGUGAUGUGAAUAUGUCUCUGUUGUGCUAACUCAAUGACAGUGUGUCCACUCUUCUCUGUGAACCAUUAAAGCCUUUACCUGAA